GAGUUUGAUCAUGGCUCAGAUUGAACGCUGGCGGCAUGCCUUACACAUGCAAGUCGAACGGCAGCACGGGAGCUUGCUCCUGGGUGGCGAGUGGCGAACGGGUGAGUAAUGCAUCGGAACGUAUCCUGGAGUGGGGGAUAACGUAGCGAAAGUUACGCUAAUACCGCAUAUUCUGUGAGUUUCAGGAAAGCGGGGGACCUUCGGGCCUCGCGCUCUUGGAGCGGCCGAUGUCGGAUUAGCUAGUUGGUGAGGUAAAGGCUCACCAAGGCGACGAUCCGUAGCAGGUCUGAGAGGAUGAUCUGCCACACUGGAACUGAGACACGGUCCAGACUCCUACGGGAGGCAGCAGUGGGGAAUUUUGGACAAUGGGGGCAACCCUGAUCCAGCCAUGCCGCGUGAGUGAGGAAGGCC
rnacentral:rRNA from 1 species